rnacentral:rRNA from 1 species
UACGUAGGGUCCGAGCGUUGUCCGGAUUUAUUGGGCGUAAAGAGCUCGUAGGCGGCUCAGUAAGUCGGAUGUGAAAACUCUGGGCUCAACUCAGAGACGCCACUCGAUACUGUCGUGACUGGAGUCUGGUAGGGGAGUGUGGAAUUCCCAGUGUAGCGGUGAAAUGCGCAGAUAUUGGGAGGAACACCAGUGGCGAAGGCGGCACUCUGGGCCAGUACUGACACUGAGGAGCGAAAGCGUGGGGAGCGAACAGG